GACGAACGCUGGCGGCGUGCCUAAUACAUGCAAGUUGAGCGAUGAAGCUUGGUGCUUCCACCAAUUUGAAGAGCAGCGAACGGGUGAGUAACGCGUGGGGAAUCUGCCUUUGAGCGGGGGACAACAUUUGGAAACGAAUGCUAAUACCGCAUAACAACUUUAAACAUAAGUUUUAAGUUUGAAAGAUGCAAUUGCAUCACUCAAAGAUGAUCCCGCGUUGUAUUAGCUAGUUGGUGAGGUAAAGGCUCACCAAGGCGAUGAUACAUAGCCGACCUGAGAGGGUGAGCGGCCACAGUGGGACUGAGACACGGCCCAAACUCCUACGGGAGGCAGCAGUAGGGAAUCUUCGGCAAUGGACGAAAGUCUGACCGAGCAACGCCGCGUGAGUGAAGAAGGUUUUCGGAUCGUAAAACUCUGUUGGUAGAGAAGAACGUUGGUGAGAGUGGAAAGCUCAUCAAGUGACGGUAACUACCCAGAAAGGGACGGCUAACUACGUG
rnacentral:rRNA from 1 species